AUUCGGGUAGCUGGGUAAAAUGGUGGUUCCAUUCUGAGGAAUCUCCAUACUGCUUUCCAGAGUGGUUGCACCAAUUUGCAGUCCCAACAGCAGU
rnacentral:pre_miRNA from 1 species